UACAAAAUUCUGUUGUAAAAAAUUUGUGUUAUUUCUAUCACUCGUAAAAAUGUCACACCCACUAAUCAAUGGCAAGACUUUGCUGGAGAACAUUAAGGCUAUCAAUGAGCCAGUCACGUUUGAUGGCAUCGCCGACUCGUUCGAGGGAUCAGUGAAGAGCUCUGAGGACACAAGCAAGUUGAAGGCGUUACUCGCAUCCGCUGUCCGUCUUGGAUUUGUGGUGCAGUACAAUAACCACUAUUUUUCAGCUACCCAUGUGGAUGACAUUAAGGAGGUAAUGGAAUGGGAGUCGCACACUUCAAUGGGUGCAGUCUCAUGUUUGGGAUCGAUUGACAGUUCGGAAGAGUAGACGCAAUAAGCGGAGCCCCGAAAAUGCGGUCUCAGCGAAUUGCAAAUAAUAAUACGUGCAAAGCCCAAAAGUUCAUGGACCGCUAUAAAUGAAAAGCUGUAUGCCAUUUAUUUCUCAGUUUUGUUCAAUAUACACGUACAUACAAGUACAUACACUGUACAUUCAUUAGCAUCAGCCAAGAGGCUGUUUAAAAUUCUUUUCUGUGCACAACAAAGCGAUUAAUCAAUUAAAUAUGUCAGUCCUGCAAAA